rnacentral:rRNA from 1 species
AUUGAACGCUGGCGGCAGGCCUAACACAUGCAAGUCGAGCGGUAGCACAGAGAGCUUGCUCUCGGGUGACGAGCGGCGGACGGGUGAGUAAUGUCUGGGAAACUGCCUGAUGGAGGGGGAUAACUACUGGAAACGGUAGCUAAUACCGCAUAAUGUCGCAAGACCAAAGGGGGGGACCUUCGGGCCUCAUGCCAUCAGAUGUGCCCAGAUGGGAUUAGCUGGUAGGUGGGGUAACGGCUCACCUAGGCGACGAUCCCUAGCUGGUCUGAGAGGAUGACCAGCCACACUGGAACUGAGACACGGUCCAGACUCCUACGGGAGGCAGCAGUGGGGAAUAUUGCACAAUGGGCGCAAGCCUGAUGCAGCCAUGCCGCGUGUGUGAAGAAGGCCCUCGGGUUGUAAAGCACUUUCAGCGGGGAGGAAGGCGGUGAGGUUAAUAACCUCAUCGAUUGACGUUACCCGCAGAAGAAGCACCGGCUAACUCCGUGCCAGCCGCCGCGGUAACAC